rnacentral:rRNA from 1 species
GACGGUACUUGAUGAAUAAGCCACGGCUAAUUCCGUGCCAGCAGCCGCGGUAAUACGGGAGUGGCAAGCGUUAUCCGGAAUUAUUGGGCGUAAAGCGUCCGCAGGCGGCCUUGUAAGUCUGUCGUCAAAGCGUGGAGCUUAACUCCAUUUAAGCGAUGGAAACUGCAAGGCUAGAGUGUGGUAGGGGCAGAGGGAAUUCCCGGUGUAGCGGUGAAAUGCGUAGAUAUCGGGAAGAACACCAGUGGCGAAGGCGCUCUGCUGGGCCAUAACUGACGCUCAUGGACGAAAGCCAGGGGAGCGAAAGGGAUUAGAUACCCCUGUAGUCCUGGCCGUAAACGAUGAACACUAGGUGUCGGGGGAAUCGACCCCCUCGGUGUCGUAGCCAACGCGUUAAGUGUUCCGCCUGGGGAGUACACACGCAAGUGUGAAACUCAAAGGAGUUGACGGGGGCCCGCACAAGCGGUGGAGUAUGUGGUUUAAUUCGAUGCAACGCGAAGAACCUUACCAGGGUUUGACAUCCUGCGAAUCCUUUGGAAACGAGGGAGUGCCUUCGGGAGCGCAGAGACAGGUGGUGCAUGGCUGUCGUCAGCUCGUGUCGUGAGAUGUUGGGUUAAGUCCCGCAACGAGCGCAACCCACGUCGUUAGUUGCCAGCAUUUAGUUGGGCACUCUAGCGAGACCGCCGAUGAUAAACCGGAGGAAGGUGUGGAUGACGUCAAGUCAUCAUGCCCCUUACAUCCUGGGCUACACACGUACUACAAUGCUACGGACAAAGGGCAGCAAACUCGCGAGAGCUAGCAAAUCCCAUAAACCGUGGCUCAGUUCAGAUCGUAGGCUGCAACUCGCCUACGUGAAGGAGGAAUCGCUAGUAAUCGCAGGUCAGCAUACUGCGGUGAAUACGUUCCCGGGCCUUGUACACACCGCCCGUCACACCAUGGAAGUUGGCCACGCCCGAAGCCGUUACUCCAACCCUUGUGGAGGAGGACGU